rnacentral:rRNA from 1 species
AGCAGUAGCCACGGUAAAACAGAGGGUGCGAGCGUUAAUCGGAUUUACUGGGCGUAAAGCGUGCGUAGGCGGCUUCUUAAGUCGGAUGUGAAAUCCCUGAGCUUAACUUAGGAAUUGCAUUCGAUACUGGGAAGCUAGAGUAUGGGAGAGGAUGGUAGAAUUCCAGGUGUAGCGGUGAAAUGCGUAGAGAUCUGGAGGAAUACCGAUGGCGAAGGCAGCCAUCUGGCCUAAUACUGACGCUGAGGUACGAAAGCAUGGGGAGCAAACAGGAUUAGAUACCCCCGUAGUCCCUGUCUCUUAUAC